rnacentral:rRNA from 1 species
AUGCCGUCGUCGUCGCACCACCACCACCAUUGCCUUGUCCUCCUCCUCUUCGUCGUUGCCGUCACACUCUCCGCCGUCGCGGCACUCGGAGGAGUAGAAGAGGCGGCCUGCGACGCGUCGUCCCCGCAUGAGGAGGACCUGCGGCCGGACCGGCUCACGGUGCUCCUGAGCGGCUACUCGGAGCGGCGGCUCCCGCUCCUCCGCCGCAUCGCGGGAGCCUACGCCGCACACCCGCUCGUCCUCGCCGUCGUCGUGCUCUGGUGCAACCCCUCCACCCCGGACGACCGCCUCCUCCUCCCGCGCCUCCCGCCGGGGGUCUCCCUCCACCGCACCGCCUCGGCCUCCCUCAACUCCCGCUUCCUCCCGCACCCGUCCAUCCGCACCGCCGCAGUGGCCGUCGCCGACGACGACGUCCUCCCCGACGCCGCCGCGAUCUCCUUCGCGUUCGCCGCCUGGCAGCAGCGGGCCGGCCGCCCAGGCACCCUCGUCGGCUUCUUCCCGAGGUCCCACCACCUGGACCUCGCCCGCGGGAGGUGGGCGUACGCCGCGCCGCAGCCCGGCCGCUACUCCAUGGUGCUCACCAAGUUCCUCGUCCUCGCCGUAGACCUCCUCCGGAAGUACUCCUGCUCCCCGGAGCUCGCCGCGGCGCGCGCCGUGGUGGACCGGGAGCGCAAUUGCGAGGACAUCCUCAUGAACUUCGUGGCCGCCGAGGCGUCCGGGGAAGGGCCGGUGCUGGUGGAGGCCGGCAGUAUCAGGGACUGGGGCGACCCGAGGAACGACGCCAACGCCGGAGCUGGCGUGGAGGCGAUGAGGGCCGUGGGGCUGAGCUCGAGAGGCGGCGUGGGGCACUGGGAGAAGCGAGGGGAGUGCAUCACGGAGUUUCACCGGCUGCUAGGGAGGAUGCCGCUGCGGUACAGCUACGGGAAGGUGGUGGAGGCGGCCGUCGCCGAGCAGGGGCUGUGCAGCAAAGGCGGCCGUCUCGUCCGGUGCGACCAGGAGUAG